rnacentral:rRNA from 1 species
UACGUAGGGUGCAAGCGUUGUCCGGAAUUAUUGGGCGUAAAGAGCUCGUAGGCGGUCUGUUGCGUCGGCUGUGAAAACCCGGGGCUCAACCCCGGGCCUGCAGCCGAUACGGGCAGACUAGAGUGCUGUAGGGGAGACUGGAAUUCCUGGUGUAGCGGUGAAAUGCGCAGAUAUCAGGAGGAACACCGGUGGCGAAGGCGGGUCUCUGGGCCGAUACUGACGCUGAGGAGCGAAAGCGUGGGGAGCGAACAGG